rnacentral:rRNA from 1 species
GAUGAACGCUGGCGGCGUGCCUAAUACAUGCAAGUCGAGCGAACGGACGAGAAGCUUGCUUCUCUGAUGUUAGCGGCGGACGGGUGAGUAACACGUGGAUAACCUACCUAUAAGACUGGGAUAACUUCGGGAAACCGGAGCUAAUACCGGAUAAUAUUUUGAACCGCAUGGUUCAAAAGUGAAAGACGGUCUUGCUGUCACUUAUAGCUGGAUCCGCGCUGCAUUAGCUAGUUGGUAAGGUAACGGCUUACCAAGGCAACGAUGCAUAGCCGACCUGAGAGAGUGAUAGGCCACACUGGAACUGAGACACGGUCCAGACGCCUACGGGAGGCAGCAGUAGGGAAUCUGCCGCAAUGGGCGAAAGCCUGACGGAGCAACGCCGCGUGAGUGAUGAAGGUGUUCGGAUCGUAAAACUCUGUUAUUAGGGAAGAACAUAUGUGUAAGUAACUGUGCACAUCGUGACGGUACCUAAUCAGAAAGCCACGGCUAACUACGUG